UACGUAGGGGGCAAGCGUUGUCCGGAUUAAUUGGGCGUAAAGCGCACGCAGGCGGUCUUUUAAGUUUCGAGUGACAGGUGGGGGCUUAACUCCCACAGGCCUGGGAAAACUGGAAGACUUGAGGACGAGAGAGGGACGCGGAAUUCCAGGUGGAGCGGUGAAAUGCGCAGAUAUCAGGAGGAACACCGGUGGCGAAGGCGGUUCUCUGGGCCUUACCUGACGCUGAGGAGCGAAAGCGUGGGGAGCAAACAGG
rnacentral:rRNA from 1 species